rnacentral:rRNA from 1 species
CCUACGGGGGGCAGCAGUGAGGAAUAUUGGUCAAUGGACGAGAGUCUGAACCAGCCAAGUAGCGUGAAGGAUGACUGCCCUAUGGGUUGUAAACUUCUUUUAUAAAGGAAUAAAACGAGGCACGUGUGCCUUUUUGCAUGUACUUUAUGAAUAAGGAUCGGCUAACUCCGUGCCAGCAGCCGCGGUAAUACGGAGGAUCCGAGCGUUAUCCGGAUUUAUUGGGUUUAAAGGGAGCGUAGAUGGUUUGUUAAGUCAGUGGUGAAAGUUUGCGGCUCAACCGUAAAAUUGCAAUUGAUACUGGCAGUCGUGAGUACAGUUGAGGUAGGCGGAAUUCGUGGUGUAGCGGUGAAAUGCUUAGAUAUCACGAAGAACCCCGAUUGCGAAGGCAGCUUACUAAACUGUGACUGACAUUGAUGCUCGAAAGUGUGGGUAUCAAACAGGAUUAGAUACCCCUGUAGUC